GGAGCCAGGUCAGAGAAAGCAUUGCAGCUUCCUCCUGGCUCUCCUCUCUUUUCCACUUGGAAGCCCUGAGCCAACAGGAAAGCAGUCUGGUCAUGCUGGGGAAUACCAGGGAGGGGAGACAGGGAAAGGUGCCGGAAGUUGCUACCGCGACUCUCCCAGUAUUACCAGCCCAGCCACCAGACAUGUAAUCGAAGGAGGCUUUGCGACGCCCCAGCCGCAGUCUGACUGCAACCUGAAGAUGGACCCUGCCCAGUCACUGAUACGAUGAAGUCUAGUCCCUCUGACAGAUGUGGCAAAGCAUUAUCAGGGUCAAAGAAGAAGAAGAAGAGAUUGGGACAAAGACACAUACAGGGGAAGGAUGACGUAAGGACAUCAGGAGAUAGUUACCUACAAGCCAAGGAGAGAGGCCUCAGGAGAAACCAGACCUGCUGACACCCUAAUCUUGGACUUCCAGCCUCCAGAGCUGUCAGAGUAUAAGUCAGAGCUGUCUGUUGUUUAAGUCUGUGGUACUUUGCGAUGGCCCCUCUUGUGAACCAUCCAGUGUAACCUUACCCCUGAAGAAUCUGAGGUGUGGCAUCACCCAGCUUGUAUGGGUGUUAGGUCCAGGCUCUAGGGGGUACCCAUUCUCAGCCCAGAGGUCUUCAUACCUACCACACCCUGAAUUUGACUUGCAUGGGUUUCUAGAAAGGACAGAGAAGGAUGAUGGGAAGAUCAAGGGCACAGAGUUGGAAUCCAGUCCAUCAUCUGAAAGGAAAGGAUGACUUAAUGGCUGCUUGUAAAAUCCAACAGUUCUUGGGCCACCUCAGUAGUGACUUUUUUAUUAUUUUCCAUUUUCCCCCCAUUCUUCCCUUGGUUUCUAACUGGGGGGAAAUGAUUGGUUGUAGACACUUCAAAGCGACUUCAGCGUGAUUUUUACAUACGGGACACCAUGUUGGACCAGUAGGCCCAAAUUUAACCAGGGAGACCUCUUCAUUGGUGUUUACGGCUCUGAUUUGUUGACUGUCUCCCAGAACCUCCUUUGAUGAGAGAAUCUGGGACAGCUGGGGGAUUUGUGGUGACAGAGUUUAAGUGAUUUGUAAUUACAUUUUAUUUUAGUUUUAGUUUCUGUUGUUUUUUUUCUGAGCGUGUGUACCUUUUAGGCCUUUUUUCUUUUUUUUUCUCGUAACAUUACGGGCCUCUGAAUGCCAAACUAAUUUUCCCUCUCAAUCCCCUGUAGGUUUCAAGUGACAAGCUUUUAAAAGCACAGCCCUUGUUAGUUUUAGAGCCUUAAGACUCAUUGUCUUGUAGCCUUCCUGUCCCCCACCCCCCACUCUUAUUGUCAUCUCCCAGGGUGUUCUAAAUCUCUGAUUUCCCUCUCCGAGUGGUGUCUCCCAUUUAUUUUAUUUAGAGAUAAUGCAGAGCUUUUGAAUCUGAAGGAGGCUUGGCUAACUGAGCUUAGUGGGUUGGGAGGUUGGGCGAUAUCUCAGCAUAAUCCCAAUGUCAAAAAAAAAAAAAAAGGCUGAAAUGCCCAGAGGCUAUUUUUCAGAAACCCCAUUGUUUUAGGCACAAUUCUAUCGGUGAAAUUCAAGCUUCUGGACUUAUUUCCACUGAUUGGCAUGAUUGACACAGUGCCAGGCAUUGUGUGGUGAACCAGGUGGCUUUGUGGCCUAGACUGGCCGUCACAAACACCAGCAAAUGUAGCAGGAUUAUGUAGCAGGAUAUGUAGCAGUCAAGUCUGGACAGACUGUGAUUAUUCGGCUGUGGAUGCUGAAGGUCAGGGCGCGGGUGGCCUUGAAAACCGUGCUUUACGUUGCCUUCCAGCACGUAGAGAAGAAAUGAAGCCAGGCCUCUUUCAUGAGGACCACUAAGUAACACAACAGGUAGUGCUUACUUAAAAACAGGAUCCAUGACAAAGCAUUCUAAUCAAGGCUUUCACGUUGGCCCUGUAAAAUAGUUUAACUGCCAAAAAAGAUGCAUUAGAGAGCAAAAUACUGGUUUUAAUUGGUGGGUUUUUUUUUUCUUUUCUUAAAAAAAGGGAAACUUCAGAGCACAUUUUAAUUUAAGUUCUGGCCCUUGAGACUUUUCUUACUUGUGUGGCUACCAGCAAACGGUAUGUGAAUUAAUGGAUAUUAAGCCUCUCAAAUUAGCUUUUUAACAAUGAUAAACGUACGCACCUUGUAGCAAUUAAAAAUAGGAACUCCUCAUGCUGAAUUUCUUUUAUAUUAACCAUAUCCAGAUGCACAACCCCCUCCGCUUAAUUCCUUAUUAAUCUACUGUUU